AGAACGCUAGUGUAUUAAUCCCCGUCCUAGGAAAAGCCGAGGUACACCAAACAAACAUGAUACAAAAGGCACAUCUUUAUUAUAUCAAUAAUAUUUACAUUAUUACAAAGGCACUUCAGGCCUGACAAACAAAAAUAAACAACAGCGGACUAGCGGGCCUACGGCUCCAUCUUCACAGGCGCUCAACAGGGGUAUAAGCCAGGACUCCACCUAGGACUUCUUCUUCAAAGCUUCUCUUACUGAAGGGGGGAGAGAUAGAGCAAGAAUGAGUAUAACCACAGUACUCAGCAAGUCACACUGGGAGAUGCAUGAAUAAUGCAAGGGGGUACAAGGGGUAAUAAUAUAGGGUUAGGUUUUGCAGUAAACAGCAUUUAAAAGUCACUUAGUUGCCCAAAGCUAUUUUAUAAACACGAUCCUAUAGCUACACAAUAUUAUUAAUCAAGGCCGUGAACCCUGGCAACCCGAACUGGGUCCCAGCUCAUCCCAAGCCAACCUAGGCCAACUAUUACACAUUUUAGUUGUUAAGUAAGUUUUAAGAAUUAAACCACUAACUUGGGUACAUUGCUAGGCUUGCCCAUAACCGAGGGCGUGGCUAUUCGAAUAGAUUUACUCUGAUCAGAGGUGUACAUCUUUACCCACAAGACACAUCUUUACUCCGCAUUCUAUGGCCUUGGAACCCGUCAUAAACAUGUGACAUAACCCUUCACCCAUCCGAGCUGUGAACAAAAGUACCGACCUAUCCCAGCCUACGGCCGGUAUUCUGGACAGGCAGGCCAGGAUUGAGCCCCUAGCAAUAGGAUCAAGACCGGGUGCGCCACACACAUAGGGGUGAGACCACCCGCGUACUAGUCCAGUGCCAUGGCAUCUCGACUAACGGGCACCGUCCCGUGUAGCCUUCAUUUGCCUAGACAUCUCGAUUACCGAGCCACAGCUCAUGUAGCCUUCAUUUGCCUCAGAGAUAUCCACCGUCGCAACGAUUUCAUCCACCUCUAUCCGUGUCCUUUUGUUCAGGACUAGACUGAGCACCGAGUUAAGCCUUACCCAUUAGACAUGUGGUUAGUACGGUAGUGCUUUGCAAUAGAGGCCCGAAGACUGGUCCUUAUAGUGGCCGAGAUGCUACUAGCAAAACCAUGCACCUCGAGCCCAGCCUAAAACCAUUUUGGGAGUUUUGAAUAGAGGGGGGAGGUGUAUGUUCAAUUCCAUCACAAGCCAAUGUCGACCCCCGAUAUUGUAAAUCGGAAAUCUUCUGUGUUUAUCAGUACCAAUCCCUGGAUCAGUAGUUGGUACACACAUACAUAGCCGAAUCACAACAUAUCACAAAUGAAUUCAGGCUAAGAGAGUUAAAUGCUUACAUUAGGGCCAGGCAGGCCGACAACUAUCAGAGAACAACAGCGGAAGACAAAAUAAUACAAGGGCCCGGUUGAUGUCGCGACCGAGAAAAUUGCCUUUUCCCGAACGCUAGUGUAUUAAUCCCCGUCCCAGGAAAAGCCGGGGUACACCACACAAACAUGAUAUAAAAGGCACAUCUUUAUUAUAUCGAUAAUAUUUACAUUAUUACAAAGGCACUUAAUGCCUGGCAAUAAAAAAUAAACAGCAGCGGACUAGCGGGCCUACGGCUCCAUCUUCACAGGCGCUCAACUGGGGUAUAAGCCAGGACUCCACCUAAGACAUCUUCUCCAAAGCUUCUCUUACUGAAGAGGGGAAAGAUUGAGCAAGAAUGAGUACAACCACAGUACUCAGCAAGCCACACCGGAGAUGCAUAAUUAAUGCAAGAGAGUACAAGGGGAUAAUAAUAUAGGGGUUAAGUUUUGCAGAAAACAGCAUUUAAAAGUCACUUAGUUGCCCAAAGCCAUUUUAUAAAGACGAUCCUAGAGCUACACAGCAUUAUUAAUCAAGGUCGUGAACCCACACGAGCCUGCCUUAGCCCAAGGCCUACGAUGAUUCAGACCGAACUAGCAACCCGACCCUGGGUCCCAGCUCGUCCCAAGCCAACCCAGGCCAACCAUUCCACAUUUUAGUUGUUAAGCAA
rnacentral:lncRNA from 1 species